rnacentral:rRNA from 1 species
UACGAAGGGGGCUAGCGUUGCUCGGAAUCACUGGGCGUAAAGGGUGCGUAGGCGGGUCUUUUAAGUCAGGGGUGAAAUCCUGGAGCUCAACUCCAGAACUGCCUUUGAUACUGAAGAUCUUGAGUUCGGGAGAGGUGAGUGGAACUGCGAGUGUAGAGGUGAAAUUCGUAGAUAUUCGGAAGAACACCAGUGGCGAAGGCGACUCACUGGACACGAUUGACGCUGAGGUGCGAAAGCGUGGGGAG